rnacentral:snRNA from 1 species
ACACUUGCCUGGUGCCGGGCCCUCGUUGAUCACCGAGGACGAGCCCCAAAGAAGGCGCGGGCAUUGCACUGCGCUCGCGUUCACUCCUACCACUACCCCAAACUGGGGCAGAUGGGACAUGCAAAUUGCUUAAAUCAGCAGGCGCGCGGUUGCUCC